rnacentral:rRNA from 1 species
CACGUGGGUAACCUGCCUUAUAGUGGGGGAUAGCCUUUCGAAAGGAAGAUUAAUACCGCAUAAGAUUGUAGUAUCGCAUGAUAUAGCGAUUAAAGGAGCAAUUCGCUAUAAGAUGGACCCGCGUCGCAUUAGCUAGUUGGUGAGGUAAUGGCUCACCAAGGCGACGAUGCGUAGCCGACCUGAGAGGGUGAUCGGCCACAUUGGGACUGAGACACGGCCCAGACUCCUACGGGAGGCAGCAUG